UCCCUCUAAAACUGAUGGAGAGCCCUGUGA
rnacentral:piRNA from 1 species